rnacentral:rRNA from 1 species
GAUGAACGCUGGCGGCGUGCCUAAUACAUGCAAGUCGAGCGAACGGACGAGAAGCUUGCUUCUCUGAUGUUAGCGGCGGACGGGUGAGUAACACGUGGAUAACCUACCUAUAAGACUGGGAUAACUUCGGGAAACCGGAGCUAAUACCGGAUAAUAUUUUGAACCGCAUGGUUCAAAAGUGAAAGACGGUCUUGCUGUCACUUAUAGAUGGAUCCGCGCUGCAUUAGCUAGUUGGUAAGGUAACGGCUUACCAAGGCAACGAUGCAUAGCCGACCUGAGAGGGUGAUCGGCCACACUGGAACUGAGACACGGUCCAGACUCCUACGGGAGGCAGCAGUAGGGAAUCUUCCGCAAUGGGCGAAAGCCUGACGGAGCAACGCCGCGUGAGUGAUGAAGGUCUUCAGAUCGUAAAACUCUGUUAUUAGGGAAGAACAUAUGUGUAAGUAACUGUGCACAUCUUGGCGGUACCUAAUCAGAAAGCCACGGCUAACUACGUG